rnacentral:ncRNA from 1 species
UGUAUCUGGCGGGACCACCCGCUAAGCCUAAAUAUUCCCUGGUGACCGAUAGCGGAUAGUACCGUGAGGGAAUGGUGAAAAGUACCGCGGGAUCGGAGUGAAAUAGUACCUGAAACCGUGUGCCUACAAGCCGUGGGAGCGUCGGAUGGAAGCUUGCUUCCAUCUCGUGACUGCGUGCCUUUGAAGAAUGAGCCUGCGAGUUUGCGGU